rnacentral:rRNA from 1 species
UACAGAGGGUGCAAACGUUGCUCGGAAUUAUUGGGCGUAAAGGGCUCGUAGGCGGUUUGUCGCGUCGGGAGUGAAAACCUUGGGCUUAACUCAGGGCUUGCUUUCGAUACGGGCAGACUAGAGGUAUGCAGGGGAGAACGGAAUUCCUGGUGUAGCGGUGAAAUGCGCAGAUAUCAGGAGGAACACCGGUGGCGAAGGCGGUUCUCUGGGCAUGAUCUGACGCUGAGGAGCGAAAGUGUGGGGAGCGAACAGG